GAUGAACGCUGGCGGCGUGCCUAAUACAUGCAAGUCGAGCGGACAGAUGAGGAGCUUGCUCCUCUGACGUUAGCGGCGGACGGGUGAGUAACACGUGGAUAACCUACCUAUAAGACUGGGAUAACUUCGGGAAACCGGAGCUAAUACCGGAUAAUAUAUUGAACCGCAUGGUUCAAUAGUGAAAGACGGUUUUGCUGUCACUUAUAGAUGGAUCCGCGCCGCAUUAGCUAGUUGGUAAGGUAACGGCUUACCAAGGCAACGAUGCGUAGCCGACCUGAGAGGGUGAUCGGCCACACUGGAACUGAGACACGGUCCAGACUCCUACGGGAGGCAGCAGUAGGGAAUCUUCCGCAAUGGGCGAAAGCCUGACGGAGCAACGCCGCGUGAGUGAUGAAGGUCUUCGGAUCGUAAAACUCUGUUAUUAGGGAAGAACAAAUGUGUAAGUAACUAUGCACGUCUUAACGGUACCUAAUCAGAAAGCCACGGCUAACUACGUG
rnacentral:rRNA from 1 species